CUGCAAGUCGAACGGUGAACACGGAGCUUGCUCUGUGGGAUCAGUGGCGAACGGGUGAGUAACACGUGAGCAACCUGCCCCUGACUCUGGGAUAAGCGCUGGAAACGGCGUCUAAUACUGGAUAUGUGACGUGAUCGCAUGGUCUGCGUCUGGAAAGAAUUUCGGUUGGGGAUGGGCUCGCGGCCUAUCAGCUUGUUGGUGAGGUAAUGGCUCACCAAGGCGUCGACGGGUAGCCGGCCUGAGAGGGUGACCGGCCACACUGGGACUGAGACACGGCCCAGACUCCUACGGGAGGCAGCAGUGGGGAAUAUUGCACAAUGGGCGCAAGCCUGAUGCAGCAACGCCGCGUGAGGGAUGACGGCCUUCGGGUUGUAAACCUCUUUUAGCAGGGAAGAAGCGAAAGUGACGGUACCUGCAGAAAAAGCGCCGGCUAACUACGUGCCAGCAGCCGCGGUAAUACGUAGGGCGCAAGCGUUAUCCGGAAUUAUUGGGCGUAAAGAGCUCGUAGGCGGUUUGUCGCGUCUGCUGUGAAAUCCGGAGGCUCAACCUCCGGCCUGCAGUGGGUACGGGCAGACUAGAGUGCGGUAGGGGAGAUUGGAAUUCCUGGUGUAGCGGUGGAAUGCGCAGAUAUCAGGAGGAACACCGAUGGCGAAGGCAGAUCUCUGGGCCGUAACUGACGCUGAGGAGCGAAAGGGUGGGGAGCAAACAGGCUUAGAUACCCUGGUAGUCCACCCCGUAAACGUUGGGAACUAGUUGUGGGGUCCAUUCCACGGAUUCCGUGACGCAGCUAACGCAUUAAGUUCCCCGCCUGGGGAGUACGGCCGCAAGGCUAAAACUCAAAGGAAUUGACGGGGACCCGCACAAGCGGCGGAGCAUGCGGAUUAAUUCGAUGCAACGCGAAGAACCUUACCAAGGCUUGACAUAUACGAGAACGGGCCAGAAAUGGUCAACUCUUUGGACACUCGUAAACA
rnacentral:rRNA from 1 species